AUUUAUAUAGUAUAAUAAUUAUAAUUAACUUCCAAUUAAAAGAUCUAAAAAAAUAUUUAGUAUAAAUA
rnacentral:tRNA from 1 species